AUAAUAUUCUUCAAGAGAUUUACAGAGUUCCUUGAGUGAAUUGUUGGUUUGUUCUUAAUACUGAAUUUCCUAUUCAAAUUUAUUUAGAAGUUCAUUUCUUACAGUGAUCUCAUCUCCUAUUAAGAUAUUCUUCAAGAUCUGGAGGCCAUCCUUUAAGCUUCUUGCAACAGUCUGGGAGCAAAGAGUUUACUCGCCACUGGGUAGUGGGCCAUGGACACCCCAGUCUCCACCAGAAGUUCGGGAUUGCAAAAUGGGACUCUGGCAGCAAAUUUCAAACUGUAUGCCAGACCUGGCCCUUUGCAGGUGUCUGGAAAGAUGGCUGAAUAGGAACAGCUCUGCUCUGCAGCUCCCAGCGAGAUCAACGCAGAAGGAGAUAAUUUCUGCAUUUCCAACUAAAGUACCCAGCUCAUCUCAUUGGGACUGGUUAGACAGUGGGUGCAGCCCACAGAAGGCAAGCAGAAGCAGGGUGGGGUGUUGCCUCACCCGGGAAGCGCAAGGGGUCAGGGAACUCCCUCCCCUAGCCAAGGGAAGCUGUGAGGGACUGUGCCGUGAGGAACGGGGCAUUCCGGCACAGAUACUAUGCUUUCCCCACGGUCUUUGCAACCCACAGACCAGGAGAUUCCCUUGGGUGCCUGCACCACCAGGGCCCUGGGUUUCAAGCAAAAAACUGGGCAGCCAUUUGGGCAGACACUGAGCUAGCAGCAGGAGUUUUUUUCAUACCCUAGUAGCCCCUAGAAUGCCAGCGAGACAGAACUGUUCACUCCCCUGGAAAGGGGCACUGAAGCCAGGGAGCCAAGUGGUCUAGCUCAGCAGAUCCCACCCCCACGGAGCCCAACAAGCUAAGACCCACUGGGUUGAAAUUCUCGCUGCCAGCACAGCAGUCUGAUGUCCACCUGGAAUGCUUGAGCUUGGUGCAGGGAGGGGCGUCUGCCAUUACUGAGGCUUGAUUAGGCAGUUUCCCCCUCACAGUGUAAACAAAGCUGCUGGGAAGUUUGAACUGGGUGGAGCCCACUGCAGCUCGGCAAAGUUGCUGUAGCAAGAGUGUCUCUCUAGAUUCCUCCUCUCUGAGCAGGGCAUCUCUGAAACAAAGGCAGCAGCCCCAGUCAGGGACUUAUAGAUAAAACUCCCAUCUCCCUGGGACAGAGCACCUGGGGGAAGGGGCAGCUGUGGGCACAGCUUCAGGACACUUAAACGUUCCUGCCUGCUGGCUCUGAAGAGAGCAGCAGAUCUCCCAGCACAGUGCUCAAGUUCUGCUAAGGGACAGACUGCCUCCUCAAGUGGGUCCCUGACCCCUGUGCCUCCGGAGUGGGAGAGACCUUCCAGCAGGGGUCAACAGACAUCUGGUGGGUGCCCGUCUGAGACGAAGCUUCCAGAGGAAGGAACAGGCAGCAAUCUGUGCUGUUCUGUAGCCUGCGCUGGUGAUACCCAGGUAAACAGGGUCUGGAGUGGAUCUCCAACAAACUCCAGCAGACCUGCAGCAGAGGGGCCUGACUGUUAUAAGGAAAACUAACAAACAGAAAGGAAUAGCGUCAACAUCAACAAAAAGGACAUCCACACAAAAACCCCAUCCGAAGGUCACCAGCAUCAAAGACCAAAGGUAGAUAAAUCCAUGAAGAUGAGGAAAAACCAGUGCAAAAAGGCUGAAAAUUCCAAAAACCAGAACACCUUUUCUCCUGCAAAGGAUCACAACUCCUUGCCAGCAAGAGAACAAAACUGGAUGGAGAAUGAGUUUGACGAAUUUACAGAAGGAGGCUUCAGAAGGUGGGUAAUAACAAACUCCUCUGAGCUAAAGGAGCAUGUUCUAACCCAAUGCAAGGAAGCUAAAAAUGAAAAAAGGCUGGAGGAAUUGCUAACUAGAAUAACCACUUUAGAGAAGAACAUAAAUGAUCUGAUGGAGCUGAAAAACACAGCACGAGACCUUCGUGAAGCAUACAGAAGUAUCAAUAGCUGAAUCGAUCAAGCAGAAGAAAGGAUAUCAGAGAUUGAAGAUCAACUUAAUGACAUAAAGUGUGACGUCAAGAUUAGAGAAAAAAAGAAUGAAAAGGAACGAACAAAGCCUCCAAGAAAUAUGGGACUAUGUGAAAAGACCAAACCUAUGUUUAAUUGAUGUACCUGAAAGUGCUGGGGAGAAUAGAACCAAGUUUGAAAACACUCUUAGGAUAUUAUCCAGGAGAACUUCCCCAACCUAGCAAGACAGGCCAAUAUUCAAAUCAGUAAAUACAGAGAACACCACAAAGAUACUCCUCGAGAAGAGCAACCCCAAGACACAUAAUCAUCAGAUUCACCAAGGAUGAAAUGAAGAAAAAAAUGUUAAGGGCAGCCAGAGAGAAAGGUCGGUUUACUCACAAAGGGAAGCCCAUUAAACUAAUAGCAGAUUUGUCUGCUGAAACCCUACAAGCCAGAAUAGAGUGGGGGGCCAAUAUUUAACAUUCUUAAAGAAAAGAAUUUUCAGCCCAGAAUUUCAUAUCCAGCCAAACUAAGCUUCAUUAGCAAAGAAGAAAUAAAAUCCUGAGAGACAAGCAAAUGCUGAGCGAUUUUGUCACCACCAGGCCUGCCUUACAAGAGCUCCAGAAGGCAGCACUAAACACAUAAAGGAAAAACCAGUACCAGCCACUGCAAAAACAUAACAAACUAUAAAGACCACCGACACUAUGAAGAAACUGCAUCAACUAACAGGCAAAAUAACCAACUAGCAUCAUAAUGACAGGAUCAGAUUAACACAUAACAAUAUUAACCUUAAAUGCAAACGGGCUAAAUGCCACAAUUAAAAGACACAGACUGGCAAAUUGGAUAGAGUCAAAAUCCAUCAUUGUGCUGUAUUCAGGAGACCCAUCUCACGUGCAAAGACACACAUAGGCUCAAAAUAAAGGGAUGGAGGAAUAUUUACCAAGCAAAUGG
rnacentral:lncRNA from 1 species